UUCCGGUUGAUCCUGCCGGACCUGACUGCUAUCGGAUUGAUACUAAGCCAUGCGAGUCAUUGUAGCAAUACAAGGCAGACGGCUCAGUAACGCGUAGUCAACCUAACCUAUGGACGGGAAUAACCUCGGGAAACUGAGAAUAAUGCCCGAUAGAACAUUAUACCUGGAAUGGUUUAUGUUCCAAAUGAUUUAUCGCCGUAGGAUGGGACUGCGGCCUAUCAGUUUGUUGGUGAGGUAACGGCCCACCAAGACUAUUACAGGUACGGGCUCUGAGAGGAGUAGCCCGGAGAUGGGUACUGAGACACGGACCCAGGCCCUAUGGGGCGCAGCAGGCGAGAAAACUUUGCAAUGUGCGAAAGCACGACGAGGUUAAUCCGAGUGGUUUCUGCUAAAGGAACCUUUUGUUAGUCCUAGGAACACUAACGAAUAAGGGGUGGGCAAGUUCUGGUGUCAGCCGCCGCGGUAAAACCAGCACCUCAAGUGGUCAGGAUGAUUAUUGGGCCUAAAGCAUCCGUAGCCGGCUCUGUAAGUUUUCGGUUAAAUCUGUACGCUCAACGUACAGGCUGCCGGGAAUACUGCAGAGCUAGGGAGUGGGAGAGGUAGACGGUACUCGGUAGGAAGGGGUAAAAUCCUUUGAUCUAUUGAUGACCACCUGUGGCGAAGGCGGUCUACCUGAACACGUCCGACGGUGAGGGAUGAAAGCUGGGGGAGCAAACCGGAUUAGAUACCCGGGUAGUCCCAGCUGUAAACUAUGCAAACUCAGUGAUGCAUUGACUUGUGGUCAAUGCAGUGCUGCAGGGAAGCCGUUAAGUUUGCCGCCUGGGAAGUACGUACGCAAGUAUGAAACUUAAAGGAAUUGGCGGGGGAGCACCACAAGGGGUGAAGCCUGCGGUUCAAUUGGAGUCAACGCCGGG
rnacentral:rRNA from 1 species